CAGUUAGAGAGAGAAAAAUCCUCCGACCUCUCCCUACAAAAGAUUUUUGGAAAAGAUAUCGGACCGGCAUGUGGUUUCUCUGUACCACCGUCGAUCGGGAAAUGGUUUCCCUUCCGAUGUGAUUUAUGUUCGUUUCUUCUGGUUCCGGGAUGGAGAGGAUUCUAUAGCUCCGCCACCUCCGGCUUAUGACUCUGAGGUGUGGAGGCCCUUUGCCUUACACCGCCGGAUUUCUAGGAUCUACGAAACAGA
rnacentral:lncRNA from 1 species